rnacentral:pre_miRNA from 1 species
AUAGUACUCCCUCCGUCCGGAAAUACUUGUCAUCAAAAUGGAUAAAAAGGGAUGUAUCUAGACGUAUUUUAGUUCUAGAUACAUCUCUUUUUAUCCAUUUUGAUGACAAGUAUUUUCGGACGGAGUACAUG